GUGAAUCAUCGAAUUUUUGAACGCAAAUUGCACUCUCUUCGGAGAGUAUGCCUGUUUGAGGGUCAGCCUAAAAAAAAUUGACAUAGUUGCUGUUACGUGGUGAUAUUCGUUGGGAAUUGGGUCAUCUUAAAUCUUUGGGUUUAAGCGGCUUAAUAUUUUUUUUAUGAUUCCAUGAACGUUUCUAAGAUUUUAUUUUUUUUUAUGUUUAAGGUAUCGCUCUUUAUUAGUCGUUGCCGUUACAUCGG
rnacentral:misc_RNA from 1 species